ACGCUCGACACCUACUGGAGGCAGCAGUGGGGAAUAUUGCACAAUGGGGGAAACCCUGAUGCAGCGACGCCGCGUGAGCGAAGAAGUAUUUCGGUAUGUAAAGCUCUAUCAGCAGGGAAGAAACUGACGGUACCUGACUAAGAAGCACCGGCUAAAUACGUGCAAGCAGCCGCGGUAAUCUGAGCGGGCUGGCAAGGC
rnacentral:rRNA from 1 species